GAUGAAGAACGUAGCGAAAUGCGAUACGUAAUGUUAAUUGCAGAAUUCAGUGAAUCAUCGAGUCUUUGAACGCACAUUGCGCCCCCUGGUAUUCCGGGGGGCAUGCCUGUCCGAGCGUCAUUGCUGCCCUCAAGCACGGCUUGUGUGUUGGGCCUCCGUCCUCCUCCCGGGGGACGGGCCCGAAAGGCAGCGGCGGCACCGCGUCCGGUCCUCGAGCGUAUGGGGCUUCGUCACCCGCUCUUGUAGGCCCGGCCGGCGCUUGCCGACACAUCAAUCUUUUUUCCAGGUUGACCUCGGAUCAGGUAGGGAUACCCGCUGAACUUAAGCAUAUCAAUAAGCGGAGGA
rnacentral:misc_RNA from 1 species